GCUUAUAGGGUUCCAAAAAAGGACUGCAAAAACAUACGAAAUAGGUUGUUCCAACCUGUAAACGAACAGUAUGCUUUCAGUCGCGUGUACUAGCUCUUCACCUGUCAACCGGAAGUUGAUGAUGUUGCUAUGCAACCUCUUGCUAGAUAGUUAGCAUAACAAAUUACUAGUUAGACAUUUUACGACUUCAGGUGUAUUCUUCAAUUCAAUCUGGAGAACCAGAUGGGCAUGGUUUGCAUAUUUAGGGCUAUUCCAUUGGUUCUACUGUGCUCGGCAAGCUCAAUUAAGUGUAACAAAUACAGAACCCAGGUCUGAUGGCUACCUGUCUUUUGCUCCCCCACCUCCAAGAGUGUUUCUCUAACGGAAUGAUGACUGCGCUGGCGAUGAAGGUGGAGUCUGCUCCCGGUCUGAACCACCUACAGUGAUGAUCGCUUAGCCUGCUUCCACUUCACUGUGAACUCCUGUGGCACCACCAGGAAGGUUAAAGGUUUCCUGCUACUAUGUGGUCAACAUCACUCGCACAUUGGCCUUCCUGACCAGGCCGCUUGACAACGAGCCUUUUGCAGAGACUGGGACGGGUCAACUAAUGUUCAGAAUGAGACUCGUUCAGGACGCCUCGUAUAACACGUUCCACCAGGAGGAGGACUAUCCAGUGGUGAGGUACCUGAGACAGCCUCUGCACUUUGAGGUGGAGCUGACCAGGUCCUCUGACCCCAAGGUAGCGCUGGUGCUUGACCACUGCUGGGCCACCCUCAACGAGGACCGUGACUCCCGACCCCGGUGGAAUCUCAUCAUUAAUGGGUAACAUGUUGUUUUUGGGCCUAAACAAGUGUUAUUCCACAGGUGUGGUUCCUGAGUAAUUAGCAACCUAUCAUGCUUGGCAGGCCAUUUACUUUGGCUACCGUGGCUAUGCCCCCAUCCAUAUGUCAUGAGUGGUCACAAUGGUUUGAGCCAAUGGUUUGAGCCAUGUGCGGUCUGUCACCAGAUCUCCACCCAAUAUAACACUUAUGGGAGAGUCUGGCGCGUACGAUCACAUGCUUGUUAUCACUGACUGGUCCCUGCAGCGGACCAUUGGAACAUGUAAAUCUAGUUUAGAAAAUAUGGCAGCCAUGUUUGUCAAGCAAGAACUCCCUAAUCCCAGAAUGCCGUUCACUGUGCCCAUUUCCUGAGGUCUUAACUUAGUUUGGCCACUUCAGCAUGUGACAAAUCUGUGUACUUGUUACGGCGUACACAUGACAAGUAGUUUACAGUUAACUAAUCAAAAAGCCAAUACAACCUUAGCACGAAAGCUAAACAGAGUUGCAAGAUAUAGCUCAAUCCAUUUUGGGAGGUGAAGUCCUUGGGGGAAGGUAUUAUGGAGAGGAUGAUGCAGGAAAUAUUAAUAAGAUGGGGAUUUAUCAACAAUA